AGAAAUUGUAACUCCAUUUGUCAGAAGCCACGAACAGCUGGCAGACAUCUUCACAAAGGCCCUCGACAAAGUAAGUCACCAAAGACUUCUGAGCAAGAUGGGUACUAUGAAUCUAUUCGAACCCAUCUUGAGGGGGAGUGUUGAAGCACCAAGAACAGACCACAACAGCAUUACUCAACAGUCAGAAACCAGCAGUAGGGACUAACAGUCUUU
rnacentral:lncRNA from 1 species